CAAACAUGUGACUGGGAUUGUACAUUCACACGUACAGUACCAGAUAAAAGUUUGUACACACCUACUCAUUCAAGGAUCUAGGAGACAAUACGUAACGAGGGGUAGAUGCCUAGAUGAUUUUAGUAGUUCCAUGAGUUAGCCAUGGUUGGUAGCUAUAUGGGCACAGUCACAGACAAGCUCUCACACCCAACACCCAUGAUGGAACUGUCGAGUCGAUUGUGCGUUACCAAAAGAGGACGGGGUGAUUGAACAACGCUGCAUAGAAUGUGCUUUAGCUGAAAUUGCUGGCAUAUUUUGAAGACUCGUUUCGCUUGGAGAACCUUAAAACAGAGGUAGGGCAGCCGUCCAACUAUGGACUGAGGGGGGACGAAGAGAGGCGUUGUUGUGUCUGGACUGGACGCGUUGGAGAUGAGGGAAAUGGCGUCCCUUGAAAGGGCACGAACAAGAUGUAUGUCAGGAGAAGUGCAGUAUUAUCCUAAGGAGAAGUAUUCUUGGAAUACAGAGGAGAAAUGGAGGGAAAAAGGGAGGCAGCGGAGGUUGGAGAGAGAGGGAGGAAGAGGGUGAGCUUGAAUCUGUAAGCAGAGUGAGCUAUGCCGGCUCGAAGACAGGAGGAGAAAUGGAAGUGAGUGAGGGUGAAGUAUGGAGGGGUAAGUGUGGUGACGUUCUCGGAGCCAGAGGUUUGCACAGAGGUUCACGAUAAAGGUGAGUCUGUGACUAGGAGUGACAGUUUAGAAAAGUGGACGCAUGUUAGGUGUUGUGGAAUCGAAGGUAACCAGAAGUGGUCUGGUAAUAAUUGUUUGUUUCUGCUGUUCCGAGGGAGCAGGGGCUCCGCGUUAAACGAAUGGGGACAAGUGAUAUGGGAUAUAUUCCGGAUAGCCUCGGACAAUAACAUUGACUGCCACUGACACGGCCGCUACCAAAGCUUGUGGGCUAUCCUUAUCCGUAGCCAAUGUGAGUAAAACAUUUAAACGUGUUAACCCUCGCAAGGCCGCCGGCC
rnacentral:lncRNA from 1 species